UGUGUUUAGGACCUUUGCCAACAGGUCGUUAGUUACCGGAGAUUUUUGUUUUACAGUCUAAUAGAAUAAGAAUGCUUUUAUUUAAAUUUUAUUUUUUUUAUCCUUUUGUGAAUGGCUAAAUUACAUAAAACCCCCUUGUCAAUACCCACUUUUUCACUUUUCUCCCGUCAUUUAAAAACCUAUACUUUGCCCCCUUGUAAAAUAAAAAAUGUUCAAAGGGCGGUAUGGUGUUAACUGUGACGAUAAAAUGAUCAUUUUGCCCUCACCAUCUUUGUCUCCUCAUUUUUCGUGCCUCAAUUCUCCAUAAUUCGUCUCGUCUCUAUUUUCUUCUUCACCUUCUCUCCUUCUCCUCCUACACCCUCAUCACCCCUUGAUUUCGCUGACAGUAGGGCGGAAAAUCGAGGUGGGCGUGGAUGGAGAGGUGGGAAAGGGCGAAGGCGAAGGCGAUGCGGCGGAGGAGGAAGACGAGGGGGUGUUUGUAGGCACAAACGGAGAUGUGGGCAAGGGUGAGGCAGCAGAGGAGGGUGAGGCGGCAAGGCGGAAGAGGGUGAGGCGGCGAGGCGGCAAGGCGAAGGAGGGCGAGACAACAGGAGAGAAGGCUGAGGGUAUUUUUGGUGUAAAAAAAUAUAAUGAUAUUUUUAAACGGAAUUCUAAUAGAGCACUAACGGUAGGGGGUGAAGUGAAUAUUUUUUAUUUUACAAGGGGGCAAAGUAUAGAUUUUUAAAUGAUAGAGGGGAAUGUGAAAAAUGGGUAUAGACAGGGUGAUUUUCUGUAAUUUAGCCUUUGUGAAAUAUAUGUAAAAAGCUCAAAAUUUUUAAAUGAGACUUCCGAAUUUAGAUAAACUCAAUCAUCUUAUUACUUUUAGUAAUUUAUAAAUAAUUAUAGAUAUGCGGUGUCUGUUACAUCUCGGGUUCGGGGCGUGACACCCUAUAUUUCCUUAAACCCACGGCUCCCAUUUUUCUUUUUCCUUUCUCUCUAAAACGAGAAUUUGCCUUCUUUCUCUCUGUUAGUUUCUCUAUUCUGUCGCUCACUCGUCACUCCUCUCUUGCUUCCUUUUUGUCACUCACUCUAUCUCUCUCUCUCUCUCUCUUUUAGGAUACUCCUCCCUCUUUCGUAGGAGCUCGCUUUAAAUCUCGCUCGAAAUUUAGGCCGAUUUUCUACAUUCCGGCCACAAUCCUAUAUAUAUAUAUAGUCCAACUAUUAUACUAUCGAUAGUAUCAAGCUCUUGAUACUAUCGAGUUUUCUUCCGUUAAAUCUACUCUUUGAUCAUUUCCACCUACUCAACCCUAGGAGACCACUAUCAUUUUAAUCGAAAAUCACUAUCAUUCUAACCGCACAUUCUUUCAUCCAAUGGCCAAAAACUUAAUAGCACUAAGCGCUUUGUACUAUCAAUAUUACAGUAGCAUAAUUAUAUAUAUAUAUAUAUAUAUAUAUAUAUAUAUAUAUAGAGAAAGAGAGAGAGAGAGAGAGAGAGAGAGAGAGAGAGAGAGA
rnacentral:lncRNA from 1 species